rnacentral:rRNA from 1 species
UACACGCUGUGACUAGCAUAUCAAUAAGCGGAGGAAAAGAAACUAACAAGGAUUCCCUCAGUAACGGCGAGUGAAGCGGGAAGAGCUCAAAUUUGAAAUCUUGAAAGGUCACCUUUCACGAAUUGUAGUUUAAAGAAGUGUUUCCUGUUACGAUCGUAAUAUAAGUUCUUUGGAAUAGGACAUCACAGAGGGUGAGAAUCCCGUCUAUGAUUGCGAUUUGUAGCUUUGUGAUACACUUUCAAAGAGUCGGGUUGUUUGGGAAUGCAGCCCAAAACGGGAGGUAAAUUUCUUCUAAGGCUAAAUAUUGGCGAGAGACCGAUAGCGAACAAGUACCGUGAGGGAAAGAUGAAAAGAACUUUGAAAAGAGAGUUAAAUAGUACGUGAAAUUGUCAAAAGGGAAGCGUUUAACACCAGUGUUGUUUUCUGAAAAUCAACCUCUGUUAGCUUUAUGCAUGUUUGUUUAGACCUAAUCAGCUAUCUUGCAUGUUCCAUAGUUUGCAGUGGUGCACUUUUCAGUUUACAGGUCAACAUCAGUUUUUUUUACCGUAAAAAAGUUAAAGAAAGGUAGCUCAUGGCUCCGGUCGUGAGUGUUAUAGUCUUUCUCCUAUGCGGUAGGAGAGACUGAGGUCUGCAGUGUAGGCUAUUUGGCUAGAUACUCAGGUGCUAUGUGAUACCAUUUCAUAAACAACUUGUUGAUUAUGUUUUGUCUAUUGCAUACUCGCUUGUACUAUCAUACCUACGCUUAGGAUGUUGACGCAUGAGAUAUACGC